rnacentral:tmRNA from 1 species
GGGGGUGACUGGCUUCGACUUCGGUGGUCGAGGCAGGAGAAGCGAGCCGUGGUCUCCGGAACCACGUAAAAGAGCCGGAAAAAACAACAAACGCCGACGAAACCGUCGACUACGCGCUAGCUGCCUAACAGCUAGCGCCGUCGGCCCGACCCCAGCCCCGCGGGUCGGUGCCGGCGCCAUCCAGCGGGGCUCACCCGUACGCACUCGCCAGCCGGGCGGACGGGGAAACGAAGGCUGGCUGUGGUCCCUCGCCGGUGCCGGUGACGAAGUGGGGGACCGAGACCAGAUCACCGGCUGCGCUCGGAGAAGGCCUGCUGAGAAGCCGGAGGACGCGGGUUCGAUUCCCGCCACCUCCACAA